rnacentral:rRNA from 1 species
CGAGUUCUGGCUCAGGAUGAACGCUAGCUACAGGCUUAACACAUGCAAGUCAGGGGCAUCAUGGAGUUGCUUGCAAACUCUGAUGGCGACCGGCGCACGGGUGAGUAACGCGUAUCCAACCUCCCUAUAGUAGAGGAUAGCCCGGCGAAAGUCGGAUUAAUACUCUAUGUUUUCCGUUGCAGACAUCUAAGAUGGAACAAAGGCUUGCCGCUAUAGGAUGGGGAUGCGUCUGAUUAGGUAGUCGGCGGGGUAACGGCCCACCGAGCCAUCGAUCAGUAGGGGUUCUGAGAGGAAGGUCCCCCACAUUGGAACUGAGACACGGUCCAAACUCCUACGGGAGGCAGCAGUGAGGAAUAUUGGUCAAUGGGCGAGAGCCUGAACCAGCCAAGUAGCGUGCAGGACGACGGCCCUAUGGGUUGUAAACUGCUUUUAUGCGGGGAUAAAGUUCACUACGUGUAGUGUUUUGUAGGUACCGCAUGAAUAAGGACCGGCUAAUUCCGUGCCAGCCGCUGC